AGCGGCGGACGGGUGAGUAACACGUGGGCAACCUGCCUAUAAGACUGGGAUAACUUCGGGAAACCGGAGCUAAUACCGGAUAAUGCUUUUGAACACAUGUUUGAAAGCUGAAAGAUGGUUUCGGCUAUCACUUAUAGAUGGGCCCGCGGCGCAUUAGCUAGUUGGUGAGGUAACGGCUCACCAAGGCGACGAUGCGUAGCCGACCUGAGAGGGUGAUCGGCCACACUGGGACUGAGACACGGCCCAGACUCCUACGGGAGGCAGCAGUAGGGAAUCUUCCGCAAUGGACGAAAGUCUGACGGAGCAACGCCGCGUGAGUGAUGAAGGUUUUCGGAUCGUAAAACUCUGUUGUUAGGGAAGAACAAGUACCGGAGUAACUGCCGUACCUGAC
rnacentral:rRNA from 1 species